rnacentral:rRNA from 1 species
AUUGAACGCUGGCGGCAUGCCUUACACAUGCAAGUCGAACGGCAGCACGGGAGCAAUCCUGGUGGCGAGUGGCGAACGGGUGAGUAAUAUAUCGGAACGUGCCCAGUAGUGGGGGAUAACUGCUCGAAAGAGCAGCUAAUACCGCAUACGACCUGAGGGUGAAAGCGGGGGAUCGCAAGACCUCGCGCUAUUGGAGCGGCCGAUAUCAGAUUAGCUAGUUGGUGGGGUAAAGGCCUACCAAGGCAACGAUCUGUAGUUGGUCUGAGAGGACGACCAGCCACACUGGGACUGAGACACGGCCCAGACUCCUACGGGAGGCAGCAGUGGGGAAUUUUGGACAAUGGGCGCAAGCCUGAUCCAGCAAUGCCGCGUGCAGGAAGAAGGCCUUCGGGUUGUAAACUGCUUUUGUCAGGGAAGAAAUCCCUUGGGAUAAUACCUCGGGGGGAUGACGGUACCUGAAGAAUAAGCACCGGCUAACUACGUGCCAGCCGCCGCCGUAAGAC